rnacentral:rRNA from 1 species
AGAGUUUGAUCCUGGCUCAGAACGAACGCUGGCGGCGUGCCUAAGACAUGCAAGUCGUGCGAGAAAGGGGCUUCGGCCCCGAGUACAGCGGCGCACGGGUGAGUAACGCGUGGGCAACCUACCUCGAAGUUGGGAACAACCUGGGGAAACCUGGGCUAAUGCCGGAUGAGCCCACGAGGUCCUCGGACCAUGUGGGAAAAGGUGGCCUCUGCUUGCAAGCUACCGCUUCGAGACGGGCCCGCGUCCCAUUAGCUAGUUGGUGAGGUAACGGCUCACCAAGGCUCCGAUGGGUAGCUGGUCUGAGAGGACGAUCAGCCACACUGGAACUGAGACACGGUCCAGACUCCUACGGGAGGCAGCAGUCGGGAAUCUUGGGCAAUGGGCGCAAGCCUGACCCAGCGACGCCGCGUGAGGGAUGAAGGCCUUCGGGUCGUAAACCUCUGUCAGGAGGGAAGAACGGCGAGGCGGUGAACAAUCGCUUCGUUUGACGGUACCUCCAAAGGAAGCGCCGGCUAACUCCGUGCCAGCAGCCGCGGUAAUACGGAGGGCGCAAGCGUUGUUCGGAAUCACUGGGCGUAAAGCGCGUGUAGGCGGCCGGGCAAGUCGGUUGUGAAAUCCCGAGGCUCAACCUCGGAACUGCAAUCGAAACUGCCCGGCUCGAGUCCCGGAGAGGAUGGCGGAAUUCCCGGUGUAGGGGUGAAAUCCGUAGAUAUCGGGAGGAACACCAGUGGCGAAGGCGGCCAUCUGGACGGUGACUGACGCUGAGACGCGAAAGCGUGGGGAGCAAACAGGAUUAGAUACCCUGGUAGUCCACGCCGUAAACGGUGAGUGCUAGACGUCGCGGGUAUUGACCCCCGCGGUGUCGAAGCUAACGCGUUAAGCACUCCGCCUGGGGAGUACGGCCGCAAGGCUAAAACUCAAA